rnacentral:lncRNA from 1 species
UGUAAUUUACGGUGGCAGAAUGCGGCCAUGAAAGAAAAAAAAAUUAUGUUGUUCCCUCAAGAUACUAUGUCGUUCCCUCAAGAUGCUAUGUCGUUCCCACAAGAUAGUUAUCUCGUUCCCUCAAGAUACUAUGUCGUUCCCUCAAGAUAGUUAUCUCGUUCCCUCAAGAUACUAUGUCGUUCCCUCAAGAUAGUUAUCUCGUUCCCUCAACAUAGCAAUACAAUUAUAUUGAUUUAUUCUUUAUUUCCAACUUCGAAACGGUGG